GCAAUAGUGAUUCCUUCAUAAUUCUAAAACACGGGAUUUGUGGGAUUAGCUCAUGAACAAUAAAUCGGGCUUUGUUGGGGGCCCUAUGUUUGACCCCUUUUGACUGUCAAUUAUCGUGCUUACUGUAUUUUGCUUGAGCUUCGUUUUGCACUCCGAUAUGUAUGAGCUAUGUUUUGUAUUCAUUAAUUGUGCACUAAUCCCGUUUCUUGAUAGCGCAUUGUGGCUCGUGGCCGAGGUACGCAUCCACUCC
rnacentral:lncRNA from 1 species